AUUGAACGCUGGCGGCAUGCUUUACACAUGCGAGUCGAACGGCAGCGCGGGCUUCGGCCUGGCGGCGAGUGGCGAACGGGUGAGUAAUACAUCGGAACGUGCCCAGUAGUGGGGGAUAGCUCGGCGAAAGCCGGAUUAAUACCGCAUACGACCUGAGGGUGAAAGCGGGGGAUCUUCGGACCUCGCGCUAUUGGAGCGGCCGAUGGCAGAUUAGCUAGUUGGUGGGGUAAAGGCCUACCAAGGCGACGAUCUGUAGCUGGUCUGAGAGGACGACCAGCCACACUGGGACUGAGACACGGCCCAGACUCCUACGGGAGGCAGCAGUGGGGAAUUUUGGACAAUGGGCGAAAGCCUGAUCCAGCAAUGCCGCGGGUGUGAUGAAGGCCUUCGGGUUGUAAAGCACUUUUGGCGGGAACGAAAAGGACUGUGCCAAUACCACGGUUCGAUGACGGUACCCGCAGAAUAAGCACCGGCUAACUACGU
rnacentral:rRNA from 1 species